CUUGUGGGUCUCAGCCCCCCACUUAUGGGUCUCAGCCCCCCACUUAUGGGUUCCCCCCCCCACUUAUGGGCCCCACUUGUGGGUCUUUAGGGGUCACUUAUGGGUCCCACUUAU
rnacentral:lncRNA from 7 species